CACAUUUUCAAGAAUUAGUAAAAAGUCAGUUUGCCUCUCAAAUACCACAAGUACACAUCUAAAUUUAUCUUGAGAAUCUCUACCACUAUUUUUGUUUAAAUUUAAUUAAAUCAUAAAGAGCACUGUUUGCAUGAAUCUUUGUAUGAAACUGCUCUACAAUACCACCGAAGAGAAAUUUUAAAGUAAGUACAACCCUGAAAUCCAGAGGAAAAAAUCAUUUGGCUUUAAAGCAAAACACUUUUAUUUAAGCUGACAAAACACACACAUACACACACACACACACAAAAUGUCAGUGAUAACUGUGAUUGAAGCCACUAAUAUUUUAGAAAACCAAAUUCCUUCAUCUUUCAAAACUAUUGGUUUCAAAGAGAUCCGCAUACAGAGAGUUAUACAACUGCGGGCUUUGAGUUUGGCUGUGAGCUCUUGAAACUGUUCAUAGGGUUUCUAAAACUGUGACGAUCUUCCUGUCUUCUCUUUUUCUUUUAUAUCCUGUUUCUAAUUUGUUUGAUGGAUCUUUUUGACCAAACCUUCAAAAUAUAUCCAGAGGCAGAUACUACUUCUGAGAAAACACCACAGCUCCUCCUACUCAGAACCAUCCUUUUUCUUCCCUGUGAAUUUACGCAAACAUCCUUGAUCCUUACUCUUGGGCACACUUCCAACACUCUCCACCCAUUCAGCAGAGGAUAAGUCCUUUGCACAAUGCUCUCCAAUAGUCCCCCAACUCAGUCAGCAUCAAAACUUUAAGAUAUCUGGCACCAUCUCACAUUGAGUCCUUACCUCAGAUUUCCCUUGCUUCUCUGCCUUCCAGC
rnacentral:lncRNA from 1 species